rnacentral:rRNA from 1 species
AUUGAACGCUGGCGGCAUGCUUUACACAUGCAAGUCGAACGGUAGCAGGCCUUCGGGUGCUGACGAGUGGCGAACGGGUGAGUAAUGCAUCGGAACAUACCCAGUCGUGGGGGAUAACGUAGCGAAAGUUACGCUAAUACCGCAUACGUCCUGAGGGAGAAAGCGGGGGAUCGCAAGACCUCGCGCGAUUGAAGUGGCCGAUGUCAGAUUAGCUAGUGGGUGGGGUAAAGGCCCACCAAGGCGACGAUCUGUAGCGGGUCUGAGAGGAUGAUCCACCACACUGGGACUGAGACACGGCCCAAACUCCUACGGGAGGCAGCAGUGAGGAAUUUUGGACAAUGGGCGCAAGCCUGAUCCAGCAAUGCCGCGUGCAGGAUGAAGGCCUUCGGGUUGUAAACUGCUUUUGUACGGAACGAAAAAGCUUCUCCUAAUACGAGAGGCCCAUGACGGUACCGUAAGAAUAAGCACCGGCUAACUACGUGCCAGCCGCCGCAGUAAUAC